rnacentral:rRNA from 1 species
ACUCCUACGGGAGGCAGCAGUGGGGAAUAUUGGACAAUGGGCGAAAGACCUGAUCCAGCCAUGCCGCGUGUGUGAAGAAGGUCUUCGGAUUGUAAAGCACUUUAAGUUGGGAGGAAGGGUUGUAGAUUAAUACUCUGCAAUUUGUACGUUACCGACAGAAUAAGCACCGGCUAACUCUGUGCCAGCAGCCGCGGUAAUACAGAGGGUGCAAGCGUUAAUCGGAAUUACUGGGCGUAAAGCGCGCGUAGGUGGUUCGUUAAGUUGGAUGUGAAAUCCCCGGGGCUCAACCUGGGAACUGCAUUCAAAACUGUCGAGCUAGAGUAUGGUAGAGGGUGGUGGAAUUUCCUGUGUAGCGGUGAAAUGCGUAGAUAUAGGAAGGAACACCAGUGGCGAAGGCGACCACCUGGACUGAUACUGACACUGAGGUGCGAAAGCGUGGGGAGCAAAC